rnacentral:rRNA from 1 species
UGGGGAAUAUUGGACAAUGGGCGCAAGCCUGAUCCAGCCAUGCCGCGUGAGUGAUGAAGGCCCUCGGGUCGUAAAGCUCUGUCGGAGGGAACGAAUGCUCCUGAAGUUAACAGCUUCAGGAUGUGACGGUACCCCAAGAAGAAGCUCCGGCUAACUUCGUGCCAGCAGCCGCGGUAAUACGAAGGGGGGCUAGCGUUGUUCGGAUUUACUGGGCGUAAAGCGCGUGUAGGCGGGUCGUUAAGUUGGGGGUGAAAUCCCGAGGCUCAACCUCGGAACUGCCCUCAAAACUGGCGACCUGGACUCAAGCAGAGGCAAGUGGAAUUGCGAGUGUAGAGGUGAAAUUCGUAGAUAUUCGCAGGAACACCAGUGGCGAAGGCGACUUGCUGGGCUUGUAGUGACGCUGAGACGCGAAAGCGUGGGGAGCAAACAGGAUUAGAUACCCCAGUAGUCCCUGAGCGGGCUGGCAAGGCGCAU